rnacentral:rRNA from 1 species
UACGUCGGGGGCAAGCGUUGUCCGGAAUCAUUGGGCGUAAAGAGCGCGUAGGCGGUCCGGUAAGUCCGCUCUGAAAGUCCGGGGCUCAACCCCGGGAGGCGGGCGGAUACUGCCGGGCUAGAGUCCGGAAGAGGGUCGCGGAGUUCCCGGUGUAGAGGUGAAAUUCGUAGAUAUCGGGAGGAACACCAGUGGCGAAGGCGGCGACCUGGGCCAAUAUUGACGCUGAGGUGCGAAAGCGUGGGGAGCAAACAGG